AUUUUAAUCAGAGAUUCAAGCUAUGAAUCUUCCCCCUUAAAAAAAUCAUCCUCCCCUUUAAAACAAUUGAUUUAGUUAUAGGAAAUAUAGAAUAAUCCCUGUUCACAGGAAAUAACUGUGGCUUGAACAAAUAAUGUAAACAAAGGAGAUUCCCCUUUUCUGGUACUGGUACUUCAGUAAGAACACCUUGCACUCCUUUCCUCAUUCACCCAAAGCCCCUCUGCUCUAUUUUAGGGAGGGGGGGGACUACCAUUUAAGGGACAUUUGUUGCUCCCAGCCGACCAGAGUCACUAGCACCUACUUCUGCGCUUCUCUCCUCAUAUACAGACACACAUGGAGAACACGAAGCAUAGAGAACAUCAACAUUUUGAGAGAUGAGGAGAGGAAGGAGAGCCUCGAGGAGAAGGGGAUGGAAAUGGGAUGCAGGGGAGGAGACAGUGAGGUCUCAAUAUUUUUGAGAGUCAAAGAGAGAGGGUCUGGAGAAAGACAGCAUGGUGGGAGAGGCAGUCCUGGCAAACAGGGAGAAAGUCCAGAGAGGGGAAGACAGCAGGAAAGGAGGAGAAAUAAAACACAGGAAAGCGAGUUAGACAUGCACUUGGUUUGAUGUUGAGUAAUGGACACGGCUUGCACCGGGCUGUCCCUUGUCUGAGGAGUCUCGUAGCUUCAACGCAGGUUAUCUGCGGUGCUGAAAUGAAAUGCUGCCUGUGUGGUUAACCAUUAUUCAUAUUUCUCCAAUUGCUCUAAUCCUUAACUCUUUAAAGGUUUGAUUCUGAGCAGCUCCCUACAGCAGAAAUUAUCUUCAAGAUGCCUCAUUAGGUCAGUACUAUCUUGAUCUUGUCCCUUGAGUUCAAAGUUUCUUGCUCCUUCAAUACAAGAUAGAGUUCAGAUUCCUUAGCCUGGAAUCUAAGGGCUUCCCAGAUCCAUCUCUGCUCAUCGCCCAUGUCACCCCAGCAGAAGUCAGCUGCUCCCACAAGGCCAGGCUGCUCUUUCUCCUGCGACUUUGGUGCUGUCCCCUCCUUUCUGGGAUCUGCUUCUUCUCUACGUUCCUUCUUUGGGGUCUUGCCCAAAACUCACCUCUUUCAUGUUCUCUGAUCUUUCCAGCCUAUGGCAAUCUUUUUCUCCACUGAAAUCUUACAACAUCCAUGGUUUGUACCAUUAAUUUGGCACUUACCCACAUAUGACAUUGCCCUUUUUUUGCUAGUGCCAACUGAAUUGUGGCUCCUUGAGGGCAAAGUCAGGUCUUAGCUGUCUUAUAAGAUAGUACUCAGCAAAGUAUCCUGUCAGAUGUCGAGAAUCCAAAGGGGGACCUCGGGCACAUCUGUAAAUGAUCUCAGCCUCAAAUCGUUCAUCCGUAAAAUGGAAAUAAUGCUAGUUCCCUACUAGGGUGAGAGUUAAGGGAGAUUAUGAAUACAAAAGAAAUUUGCGCAGUACCAGCACAGAGAAAUGGAUUCUAAAAUGCUAAUUUUUCCAGUAAUAAUAGUUGUUAGUUAUUAAUUUAACAAUAGAUUAACAUUUUAUUUGCCAUCAUUAUAAUUAUAAUCCCUAUUAUUUGAUCAAUUCAGAAAAGAGAAAGUAAUUUAAGAGCUUGUUUUUUCUUUUGAAUUCCAGAAUUUAACUUCUUUGUCCUUUCUUUAGAUUUCAUGUGCAUUCUCUAGCUGGUCAAUUGAUGGUCAUUUGGCAGGCUUUGACAAAGUCUAUUUUGUAUGCUGGAGAUGCCUAUACCAAAUCACCUGUCAGAAAUUUUAGCAAAAGUUGUGAUCCAAUUUAUCUACUGUAUUGAUAAGCUCUUUUACUUCAUCAAAGUGGAAAAAUAACCUAAUCCAGUUAUUAGGUAACAGCCAGAUUACCUAAUAGAUCACUGAUAGGCUCCUGUAAUUUGGGAUAUCUAAGGUAACUUCAGGUACAGCUCGAUCAAGAGUCGAAUGACGUUGUGGCUCUCUUUUUCUCUUUGCAGUUGGCCUCAUCUCUUUCCUUUGCAGAUGGGCUUCUCCAUUCAGCCAGGGAAGACAUCUCCUGCAGCUCCAAUUUUACUGCUUCAGCCGAAGUCCUAUGACCUCACUGCUGUAGCUUGGGCAUUGUGGACUAAUCACUAUGCUCUCACUGGCCGCAUCUGAGUCACAUGCCCAUUCUUGUUAUUUUGUGGGCUGGGGACGGCUCCACCUGAACCACAAGGACCAAGAAUGAGGAAGUGGUGAUAUCUCAAAGGAAAAUCAGGAUGCUUUUACCAGUUGAAGGCGGAUUGGAUACCCAACAGGCCUAAACUCCAGGUGUUCACACAUCCACCUUGCUACCCAGUGUGGGUGGACCUCAUCCAGUCAGAUGAAGGCCUUAAUAGAAAAAGACUGACUUCUCCAAGCAAGAAAGAAUUCUGCCAGCAGGCUGCCUUUGGACUCAAGCUGCAGCUCCUCCGUGAGCGUCCUGCCUACAGGGUUUGGACUUGCCAAGCCUCCAAAUCAUUUCUCAAGGCCAGAGGUCCAAACCAGCUUCACUGAGCCUAAAUCAAGGUGUCAGCAGGGCCUGCUGCCUCC
ensembl:lncRNA